UACGUAGGGGGCUAGCGUUGUCCGGAAUCAUUGGGCGUAAAGCGCGUGUAGGCGGCCCGGUAAGUCCGCUGUGAAAGUCGGGGGCUCAACCCUCGGAUGCCGGUGGAUACUGUCGGGCUAGAGUACGGAAGAGGCGAGUGGAAUUCCUGGUGUAGCGGUGAAAUGCGCAGAUAUCGGGAGGAACACCCGUAGCGAAGGCGGCACUCUGGGCCGGAACUGACGCUGAGGAGCGAAAGCGUGGGGAGCAAACAGG
rnacentral:rRNA from 1 species